GAAUACUGAUCGGAUUGAAACUCUCCAGACAGAGAAAUCACAACUGGAGAAAGUGGUCUUCCAAGAACUGCUCAGGAGUAAAGAACAGAUAGAAGACCUGGAGGACCUUUAUAUCCGCGAAAAAAAGAGAUGCUGCAAGUUUUUCAGAGGUCCCAAAGGGAGAAAAAACAAUAAAAAAAUAAGUGAAGAGGUGAUCGAGGACACAACCGAACAGAAGCGGGAGAAGAAAGCCAAGAGUAGGAGAAAGGGCUUCUGGAGUUGGCUCAAGUGCUGUUUCCCUUGAGCCUCCCCUUUCCUCCAUCUCCUCACCUCUUCAAUGUGUGUCCUGUCAUGUGUGUCCUGUCAUGUGUGUCCUGUCAUGUGUCGUGUGUCCUGUCCUUCUCCUCACUCCUUCUGCCUCCUUUCUCCUCACCUCUUCAACCUCUGUCACCCUCAUCCUCUCUAUUUCUUCCCUGUCCUUCCAUCUUUUCUAUUCCUUUCCUGUCCUGUCGUGUGUCCUGUCAUGUGUGUCCUGUCAUGUGUUUCCUGUCAUGUGUGUCCUGUCAUGUGUGUCCUGUCCUGUGUCCUGUCAUGUGUGUCCUGUCCUGUGUCCUGUCAUGUGUUUCCUGUCCUGUGUGUCCUGUCAUGUGUCCUGUGUCCUGUGACCCCGAGUUAGGCAGCAUCCAAAGAUAUACACCUUGAAUCUGCCUACAGACAUGUCUCAGAAUGCAGACUCCACUUUCUGUCACCAACUGACCAGUGGUGCUGCAGUGUCGGCCGAUGGCCUGUAUCGGUCCGGUAACGGCUGUAGCACCAUAUCUGCUUCACAGCUACGAGGAGACAUGUUUCAGAAAAAGAACACUCACUACUGCCAAGCAAAAUUCACUCUUCAAUUGAAACCUUCACACAUUUCUUGGUUUUUUUCCCCUACACAAUGUUCUGGGGUUUUUUCCCCUGCUUGCGGGUUAUAGUGAGUACAUGUUUAAACAAAGAUGAAGAUAUAAUAAAAAAAAUGUGAUCAAAAUAACAUUUCUGUGUAUAUGUUGAAAGUUGUUAAACUUAAAAUGUAUGUGUAUGUGGAAAUUUGAGUUUGACAUGUAUUUUUUCAUUACGAUACCAUGAUGUGUAUCUGUGUUUUUGCCAAAAAUGUAACAUUAUACUUCUUUGCUUAUGUAGAAAGACAGAGACACUGUCCUAUUUUAGGGGCGGCAUGGCUCAGUGGGCAGAGUGGCCGUCUUGCAACCGAAGGGUUGCUGGUUCGAUCCUCGCCCCGUCGUGCUCGAGGUGUCCCUGAGCAAGACACCGAACCCCGAAUUGCUCCUGAUGGGGUCGUGGUUAGCGCCUUGCAUGGCAGCUUCUGCCAUCAGUGUGUGAAUGUGUGUGUGAAUGUGAUGUAUCAUGUAAAGUGCUUUGGGUACCUUGCAGGUAUAGUAAAGCGCUAUAUAAAUACAGACCAUUUACCAUUUGAUUAAUUAGGGCACCUAUUGUAAUGAAACACUCACACCCAAUACCUCCACAGGCUGCAUGUCAGCCUGAAAAUCAGUGAGACCUCUCAGCUUCACACAGCCUUUAGAGUAACUCCAAUUGAAAUUUUGACCAGGUGAGAUCUUCCUGUCUCUGCCUUUCAAAAUAAAAGCACAGCGCAAUUUCAAAAUAAAGGCCUGCGACAGACCGGAAAACGCCAGUUAAACAAUUCCUCUCUGUCCUGUCACGUAUUCUGGCACAUAUCACAACAGCCUGACUGUCAGUUGGCAGGCAGACAGGCUCGUCCACAUCACAUCACUGCCUGAAACCGUAGCGCAGUCUUAAGUGUCUCCGAGGUACAUGGGUCACACUCUGCCUGUCCUGUCCUGUAACAAGAGAAGAGAGGGUGCCAGCCAGUUUUCUCAAACAAGGCGGCAUGGCUCAGUGGGUAGAGUGGCCGUCUUGUAACUGGAAGGUUGCCGGUUUGAUCCUCGGCCCGUUGUGCUCAUGUCGAGGUGUCCCUGAGCAAGACACCGAACCUAAUUGCUCCUGGUGGGUCGUGGUUAGCGCCUUCCAUGGCAGCUUCUGCCAUCAGUGUGUGAAUGGGUGAAAGUAACAUAUCAUGUAAAGCGCUUUGGAUAAAAGCGCUAUAUAAAUACAACCAUUUACCAUUUAAGGCCUCCACUGCAGGUACGCAUUACGUCAGCAUUUCACUGACCCAUACCCAAGUGCCCUUGUUUUCUCAGCAGCCUUCAUUCAUUCACCGUCUAGAGGAAAUGGGCCUCCCUGAUUUUGUAAGGGAAGUGCAGUGAGGUUGGUGUAUGUGGGUAAUGGAUCAAGUGACUGGUCCAAUUCCUGUUUUGCCUCCACGAAACUAUGUAGGGCACAUCCUCCUUUGGCUAAAAAUUCAGGAUGGAGGGACCUGCUUCGGUCUCUAGAAGAAUGCAAAAUAUUUUACUACAUUUUAAAAUAAAAUCUCAACUGUUCUGCAAAACUGAAACUGAAAUUUCAUGAAGCACUGUUACUAGGAAAAUUGUCAGAACCUCAUAUUGGAAAGGUUAACAAUGGAAACCUGGGAUUUGUCUUUUUCAGAGGAAAAAAUGUGUUAAAUUAUCAGGCAACAAAAUGACUAUAAUUUGGGCCUUGCUACAAUACUCUGUUAUCAAAACUGCCAUGAGUAUUUCAUCCGUCUGAUCUGUUCAUGAUUAAAACUUUCCUUGCCGGGGCAACCACAAGUCGCUGAGGACUUGAAUGCAUGCAGUUGAGCCAUAGUGCGCAAAUAAAAGACUGUCUUAGCCCAGUAGGUAAGAAAACUGAAGGCAAAAUGGCAUUGUCCAAAAGUUGUGGUUAUUUCUAGAGGCCAGCAGGAGGUGACUCCUCCGAUUGCAAAAAAUUGUAUACAACACUAUGAGAAAAUAGCCCUACUUUUCACUUGAUUUGUUCCUUCUGUAAACAUUUUCCUAAAGAGUUCGAGUUCUCACUUGCUAGUUUGUUUUCCAAUACGGCAUGAUGCUCAUUUAGUAAAUUAUAGUCCCUUUUAGAGGAGCAUAGAAGAUAAAUCAGGAUACGGCUAAGGACAGGGCUGCCUGAUUGACAGGUCACCAUGUACGGGUGUGCGGAGCAUGUGUUCUUCAAUCAGAUCCACCUCUUGAUCCGUAAAUUCGAGUUCAAAAGACACAAGAAGGCAACAAUGUAAUGUGAAACUCAAGGCUUCACCGCAGUAUGCAACAAACUCAAUGCAGUUGUAGCACGUACACACUUCAAAAUAUUUAUUUUAAUAUUUUAGAAUUUGAAAUUUAAAAGUAGGCUAGAUCAGAAGAUUAGUUUCGGCUCUCGGAGGUGAUAGCGCAAUAAUUAAAACACAGGGAGGCAGAGAAUUAUGCUUGGUGUUGGUACCGUAUAUUGAAGUGAAUUUCAAAUAUACCAAAUAAACAAAAAAAACAAAUAUUUACAAUCUGCAGGAAAUAUGGCAUGCAUGCAUUUAGAUGGAAUAUUUACAAAAAAAUAAUAAACAAAUUAUGUUGUAAAUAGCAUGUCAUUCUUGGUUUUUUGUUGGGGAAAGAGAGAGAAGCCGGUCUCUUUCCCCACUGCAACGGAAUAAAUCUACCAACCAGGAGUCAUGAUAAUACAGGUCCGUCUCAAAAAAUUAGCAUAUUGUGAUAAAGUUCAGUAUUUUCUGUAAUGUACUGAUAAACAUUAGACUUUCAUAUAUGUUAGAUUCAUUACACACAACUGAAGUAGUUCAAGCCUUUUAUUGUUUUAAUAUUGAUGAUAUUGGCCAAAAAGUUAAAAAAAAAACCUAAAACCUAUCUCAAAAAAAUUAGCAUAUUCCAUCCGACCAAUAAAAGAAAAGUGUUUUUAAUACAAAAAAGUCAACCUUCAAAUAAUUAUGUUCACUUAUGCACUCAAUACUUGGUCGGGAAUCCUUUUGCAGAAAUGACUGCUUCAAUGCGGCGUGGCAUGGAGGCAAUCAGCCUGUGGCACUGCUGAGGUGUUAUGGAGGCCCAGGAUGCUUCGAUAGCGGCCUUAAGCUCAUCCACAGUGGUGGGUCUGGUGAAUCUCAACUUCCUCUUCACAAUAUCCCACAGAUUCUCUAUGGGGUUCAGGUCAGGAGAGUUGGCAGGCCAAUUGAGCACAGCAAUACCAUGGUCAGUAAACCAUUUACCAGUGGUUUUGGCACUGUGAGCAGG